GAUGAACGCUGGCGGCGUGCCUAAUACAUGCAAGUCGAACGAGGUGCUUUUGUAGCAAUACGAGAGUAUCCUAGUGGCGAACGGGUGAGUAACGCGUUGGUGACCUACCCCAAAGUGUGGAAUAACAGUCCGAAAGGAUUGCUAAUACCGCAUGUGGUUAUCGGGUUUAGAAACUGAUAACUAAAGGAGCAAUUCGCUUUGGGAGGGACCUGCGUCCCAUCAGCUAGUUGGUGAGGUAAUGGCUCACCAAGGCUACGACGGGUAGGGGACCUGAGAGGGUGACCCCCCACAAUGGAACUGAAACACGGUCCAGACACCUACGGGUGACAGCAGUAGGGAAUAUUGCACAAUGGGCGAAAGCCUGAUGCAACAACGCCGCGUGCACGAUGAAGGCCUUCGGGUCGUAAAGUGCUUUUCUGGGAGAUGAGAAAGGACAGUAUCCCAGGAAUAAGUCUCGGCUAACUACGUG
rnacentral:rRNA from 1 species